AACGAACGCUGGCGGCAUGCCUAACACAUGCAAGUCGAACGAGACCUUCGGGUCUAGUGGCGCACGGGUGCGUAACGCGUGGGGACCUGCCCUUAGGUUCGGAAUAACUCCCCGAAAGGGGUGCUAAUACCGGAUAAUGUCUUCGGACCAAAGAUUUAUCGCCUUUGGAUGGGCCCGCGUUGGAUUAGCUAGUUGGUAGGGUAAAAGCCUACCAAGGCGACGAUCCAUAGCUGGUCUGAGGGGAUGAUCAGCCACACUGGGACUGAGACACGGCCCAGACUCCUACGGGAGGCAGCAGUGGGGAAUAUUGGACAAUGGGCGAAAGCCUGAUCCAGCAAUGCCGCGUGAGUGAUGAAGGCCUUAGGGUUGUAAAGCUCUUUUACCCGGGAUGAUAAUGACAGGACCGGGAGAAUAAGCUCCGGCUAACUCCG
rnacentral:rRNA from 1 species